rnacentral:miRNA from 1 species
AUUUUUACAUUAUUUUGAAAUAACUGCCUGCUGUGUAGAUGCAGACUAAGUUAUUUCAAAAUAACACUACUUAUUUCAAAAUAAUGUU